CCUACGGGGGGCAGCAGUAGGGAAUAUUGGACAAUGGGCGAAAGCCUGAUCCAGCAAUGCCGCGUGAGUGAUGAAGGCCUUAGGGUUGUAAAGCUCUUUUACCCGAGAUGAUAAUGACAGUAUCGGGAGAAUAAGCUCCGGCUAACUCCGUGCCAGCAGCCGCGGUAAUACGGAGGGAGCUAGCGUUGUUCGGAAUUACUGGGCGUAAAGCGCACGUAGGCGGCGAUUUAAGUCAGAGGUGAAAGCCCGGGGCUCAACCCCGGAACUGCCUUUGAGACUGGAUUGCUAGAAUCUUGGAGAGGCGAGUGGAAUUCCGAGUGUAGAGGUGAAAUUCGUAGAUAUUCGGAAGAACACCAGUGGCGAAGGCGGCUCGCUGGACAAGUAUUGACGCUGAGGUGCGAAAGCGUGGGGAGCAAACAGGAUUAGAUACCCCAGUAGUC
rnacentral:rRNA from 1 species